GUCCCAGCCGCCGCGGUAAUACGGGGGGGGCAAGCGUUGUUCGGAAUCACUGGGCGUAAAGGGCGCGCAGGCGGCUUGGGAAGUUUUGGGUGAAAGCCCCCGGCUCAACCGGGGAAGGUCCUGAGAAACCACCGAGCUGGAGUGCUGGAGAGGGAAGCGGAAUUCCCGGUGUAGCGGUGAAAUGCGUAGAUAUCGGGAGGAAGACCAGAGGCGAAGGCGGCUUCCUGGACAGACACUGACGCUGAGGCGCGAAAGCUAGGGGAGCAAACGGGAUUAGAUACCCCGGUAGUCCUAGCUGUAAACGAUGGGUACUUGGUGUGGGGGGUAGAUAAAGUCCCUCCGUGUUGGAGCUAACGCGUUAAGUACCCCGCCUGGGGAGUACGGCCGCAAGGCUGAAACUCAAAGGAAUUGACGGGGGCCCGCACAAGCGGUGGAGCAUGUGGUUUAAUUCGACGCAACGCGAAGAACCUUACCGGGGUUUGAACUGUCGUGGCAAACUGCAGAGAUGUGGUGUUCUUCUUUGAAGACUACGGCAGAGGUGCUGCAUGGCUGUCG
rnacentral:rRNA from 1 species